GCCUCGGUCUAAAAGAAGUUAAACGCAUGAGAAGAGAAGCCCAUUGUACAAGCUGGUUUUGUUUUGUGUAGCCGAUACAAGCUUUCAAUAUGAGGUGACUCUUGACACAAUCAACGUUGAUUGGCUUUCAAUCAACCAGAUAUGCUGUCUGAAAGCUGAUAGAAUAGGCAAUAUGACUGAAAGGAAUUCAUGUAACAAACCUUUGGCUUUCAAUUAAUAUGAUACAUAUGUAAGAACCCCGCCGCAUCGCGGCGGGUACUAAUUUCUAGUU